rnacentral:rRNA from 1 species
CGAAAGUCAGAGGUUCGAAGGCGAUCAGAUACCGCCCUAGUUCUGACCGUAAACGAUGCCACCUGACGAUCCGCCAGGGUUACUACCAUGACUCGGCGGGCAGUCCCCGGGAAACCCAAGCCUUCGGGUUCCGGGGGAAGUAUGGUUGCAAAGCUGAAACUUAAAGGAAUUGACGGAAGGGCACCACCAGGAGUGGAGCCUGCGGCUUAAUUUGACUCAACACGGGGAACCUCACCCGGCCCGGACACCGCGAGGAUUGACAGAUUGAGAGCUCUUUCUCGAUUCGGUGGGUGGUGGUGCAUGGCCGUUCUUAGUUGGUGGAGCGAUUUGUCUGGUUAAUUCCGAUAACGAACGAGACUCUAGCCGGUUAAGUAGCCCGAGCGGUUUUUGAUCUUUGCCGUUCAUCCCCGUUCGACCUUUGCGUCGUCCCCUUUUUUCGGGCCGUCUCCGUCGUUUUCCGUUUCUCUGGUUUCCCGAUUGUCCGUCGUCCCGUCGAUUCGUUCGACGGGUGCCGACGGUUUUCGCGGUUGCCAGGGGGCGGCGGCGGAACGGUGCGUUCUGGGGGUAUACGCUCGGUCGUUUCGGGGUGAAAGCAUAACCGAAGGCCGCCGGCUUUUAAGGAAGCUUCUUAGAGGGACGAGCGGCGUUCAGCCGCCCGAGAUUGA